rnacentral:misc_RNA from 1 species
GUUGGUGUUGGUGCACGGCCGUUGACAACCUUAUUCAAGGGCCAAGUCAUAGAAGAAAAAGGAGGCAUUAAGACUGAUGGAUUCUUCAAGACGAGCUUUCCUGAUGUAUAUGCCGUGGGUGAUGUCGCUACUUUUCCUUUGAAGCUUUACAACGAACUGAGAAGAGUUGAGCAUGUUGAUCAUUCUCGCAAAUCAGCGGAGCAAGCUGUAAAAGCCAUCAAGGCAAGUGAAGAGGGCAAAGCCAUUGAGGAGUACGACUAUCUUCCAUACUUCUACUCUCGAUCCUUCGAUUUGUCAUGGCAGUUUUACGGGGAUAAUGUUGGUGAUGCAGUCUUGUUCGGAGACAACAGUCCUGAAUCAGCAAGUCACAAGUUUGGAUCAUAUUGGAUUAAAGAUGGGAAGGUUGUGGGAGCUUUCCUAGAGAGUGGGAGUCCUGAAGAAAACAAGGCCAUUGCCAAAGUUGCUAGGAUUCAACCAUCAGUUCAGAACUCAGAUCUGCUCCUUAAGGAAGGCAUCUCCUUUGCAUCCAAGGUUUAAAAAACCUCUUUCCAUACA